rnacentral:rRNA from 1 species
GACGAACCGAGCGAACGUUGUUCGGAAUCACUGGGCUUAAAGGGCGCGUAGGCGGGUGCUCAAGUCCGGGGUGAAAUCCCACAGCUCAACUGUGGAACUGCUCGGUAUACUGCUUGUCUUGAGCCACUUAGGGGCUGUCGGAACAAACGGUGGAGCGGUGAAAUGCGUAGAUAUCGUUUGGAACGCCAAAGGUGAAAACAGACAGCUGGGAGUGUGCUGACGCUGAGACACGAAAGCCAGGGGAGCGAACGGG